rnacentral:lncRNA from 1 species
GCUCGUUGCCCUCCCAGAAAAGCUCUGCCUUUGCUGGUGGUGCCAAGAUGCUCAUUUGGCAGCCACAUUCAUCCUCCCAGAUGUUAGCUGCUCUUCUGGGCAUGCUUGGCCUGGAGGAAUUGGCCCCUAUUGCCUCUUCAGGAUCCUAACCACAGACUGCUCUGCUGUAAAUCUGGGAGACCACGGCCUGCCCAGAGGUGCUGGGGACUAAAUUCGAGUGGGAACCUUCUGCUCUGUCCUUGGAGAGAAGGAUGGUUCCCAGAAGUUACAAUUAUACAUUUGUUUAUUGAAUUAAAAAAAAGAAUGUAAUCCUCUCCUAGGCCCUCUGCCAUUUCUGUAUGAUGGCAUGCACAAAUAAUGGAAACACUUCUUCUCCAGUUAUCUAUCUGAAGAGAAAUGCUUAAUGCGUUACGAUAUAUUCCACUUGAAGUGGAGUCCAGCAUCCUGCCUUCAGUACAUUAGGCUGUAACUCGAUUAC